rnacentral:rRNA from 1 species
AUUGAACGCUGGCGGAAUGCUUUACACACGCAAGUCGAGCGGCAGCGCGGGGGCAACCCUGGCGGCGAGCGGCGAACGGGUGAGUAACAUAUCGGAACGUACCCAGUAAUGGGGGGUAACUACCCGAAAGGGUAGCUAAUACCGCAUACGCCCUGAGGGGGAAAGCGGGGGAUCGAAAGACCUCGCGUUAUUGGAGCGGCCGAUAUCGGAUUAGCUAGUUGGUGAGGUAAAGGCUCACCAAGGCGACGAUCCGUAGCUGGUCUGAGAGGACGACCAGCCACACUGGAACUGAGACACGGUCCAGACUCCUACGGGAGGCAGCAGUGGGGAAUUUUGGACAAUGGGGGCAACCCUGAUCCAGCCAUUCCGCGUGAGUGAAGAAGGCCUUCGGGUUGUAAAGCUCUUUCGGCAGGAACGAAACGGCGGGCUCUAACAUAGCCUGUCACUGACGGUACCUGAAUAAGAAGCACCGGCUAACUGCGUGCCAGCCGCCGCCGUAA